UACGUAGGUGGCAAGCGUUGUCCGGAUUUAUUGGGUUUAAAGGGUGCGUAGGCGGCUCCUUAAGUCAGUGGUGAAAUACUCUAGCUCAACUAGAGGGGUGCCAUUGAUACUGAGGAACUUGAGUGAAGUCGAAGUAGGCGGAAUUGACGGUGUAGCGGUGAAAAUGCUUAGAUAUCGUCAAGAACACCGAUAGUGAAGACAGCUUACUAGGCUUAUACUGACGC
rnacentral:rRNA from 1 species